rnacentral:tRNA from 1 species
CCGGAGAUGGCGGAGCGGUCAAUCGCACCUGACUGUAAAUCAGGCAGCCUUAGGCUUUCGGAGGUUCGAAUCCUUCUCUCCGGA